UUUAGUUAUUAGUUCCUUGAUUUUAAGUAUCCAAUAAUUCAAUGUUAUUCCCUCAAAAUUUUAAAAUUGCUCAUAAUUUUAGGGACUUUUUAUCCCAAAAUCGGAGAGAAUUGAAUCUCCUCCAUUAAAGCCACCGCCUUCCCCCAUUUCUCCUCCUCCGUCAAGCCAUCAAAUUCCCUAACUCCGCCCACCGCGAAAGGAGCAUCACCGCCGAUUUCGGCCGAUCUUCCUUCGAGCUCGAGCGCUCUCUCGAGAUCCUCAUUUCUCCUCCUCCAUCAAGCCACUGCCUUCCCCCAACUCAGAAUGGAGUUGGUUACAGUUGAGAGAUUAAUUAGAUGGGGAUGAUGUGCCCCUAUGAAGAUGGUCUUCUACAUGCUUCUAUUUUGCCAGAUUUAGUGCAUAUGGGUAUUGUAUUCAAGAAUAAAAAUUGGAGUAUCAGUUAGUUUCUAAAAUUGGAGUCUGGUGUAUCAGUUAGUUUCUAAAAUUGGAGUUGGGAUUUGCAUUCAAAUUUAUGCUUGUAAUUUAUGCUUCUAAAACUGGUGUAUCAGUGUUGUAAUGUUUUUAGUGUUGUAAUGUUAAAUCUGUAUCUCCUACA